GACGAACGCUGGCGGCGUGCUUAACACAUGCAAGUCGAACGAAGAGCGAUGGAAGCUUGCUUCUAUCCGUCUUAGUGGCGCGCGGGUGAGUAACGCGUAAUCAACCUGUCCUUCAGAGGGGGACAACAGUUGGAAACGACUGCUAAUCCCGCAUCCGAUCUAAUCUCGGCAUCGUGGAUAGAUGAAAGGUGGCCUCUACAUGUAAGCUAUCACUGAAGGCGGGGAUUGCGCCUGAUUAGCUAGUUGGAGGGCUAACGGCCCACCAAGGCAAUGAUAAGUAGCCGACCGGAGAGAGGGAUCGGCCACAUUGGAACGGGGACACGGCCCGGACUCCUACGGGAGGAGGCAGUGGGGAAUCUUCCGCAAUGAGCGAAGGCCGAACGGAGCAACGCCGCGUGAGUGAUGAGGGCCUUCGGUUCGAAAACCUCGGUUAUUGGGGAGGAAGGACUUUGUGCGAAUAGUGAGAAGGAUUGACGGUACCGGAACAGAAAGCCACGGCUAACUACGUG
rnacentral:rRNA from 1 species